CCUACGGGCGGCAGCAGUGGGGGAUAUUGCACAAUGGGGGAAACCCUGAUGCAGCGACGCCGCGUGGGUGAAGAAGCGCCUCGGCGCGUAAAGCCCUUUCAGCAGGGAAGAAAAUGACGGUACCUGAAGAAGAAGCCCCAGCUCACUACUUACCCGCAUCCGCUGUAAACCUUAAGGGGGCAGCGUUAUCCCGAUUUACUGGGUGUGAAAGGGGCACAAGCGGGUGUGCAAGUCAGGAGGGAAAGCCCGGGGCACAACCCCGGGACUGCAAUUGGAACUGCGUUGCUAGAGUGCAAGAGAGGCAGGCGGAAUUACUGGUGUAGCGGUGAAAUGCGUAGAUAUCAGGCAGAACACCGGUGGCGAAGGCAGCAUGCUGGCUUGCAACUGACGUUGAGGCACGAAAGCGUGGGGAGCAAACAGGAUUAGAUACCCUUGUAGUC
rnacentral:rRNA from 1 species